AACGCGAGAUUACUUUAUGUAAGAUGUAAAUGAAACUUUUUAAAGAACUGGUACGCGAGAUGAACAAUCUACAGUAUAAAUGAAAGUCAUUUAAUGUGGUCGAUCGAACGUUGAAUAGAAAAUGAAAUGAAGUACGAAAACUACACUAGGCUUUUUCAGGAAGGCUGGUAGGGAUUCUACACGAGAUUGAGAUCUUGUCAGGAAGGGCUAAUGCUUUCAAGGUUAAACUUUGUGAAAGUAAAGCAUGUUUUACACUGGUCAAAGCUAGGGGUAAGCAUUAAUGAUCAGUGGCUAAUGCCUUAAGGGUUAAUGUGCUAAUGUAUAACGAAUACUUUUUUGUUUCUUAAUGAUCUCAAAAUCAGUAACUGGUGCAAAAAAAAUUUACUUGAUGUAAUAUGUUAAUAUUUUUCUCUGCAAUAUUCAAAUAAAUUAAGUGAAUUUUGUCUCUGGUA